GCCCCUAUUGUCUAGCGAUUCAGGACACCUCUUUUUCAAGGAGGCAGCUAGGAUUCGACUUCCCCUGAGGGUA
rfam:Gossypium arboreum cultivar AKA8401 contig_27468_3, whole genome shotgun sequence.